UACGUAGGGCGCAAGCGUUGUCCGGAAUUAUUGGGCGUAAAGAGCUCGUAGGCGGUUUGUCGCGUCUGUCGUGAAAGCUUGGGGCUUAACCCCAAGUCUGCGGUGGAUACGGGCAGACUAGAGGCAGGUAGGGGAGAACGGAAUUCCCGGUGUAGCGGUGAAAUGCGCAGAUAUCGGGAGGAACACCGGUGGCGAAGGCGGUUCUCUGGGCCUUACCUGACGCUGAGGAGCGAAAGCGUGGGGAGCGAACAGG
rnacentral:rRNA from 1 species